UAGCAAUACCGCUGACGACCGGCGCACGGGUGAGUAACGCGUAUGCAACCUGCCUAGUAACUGGGGGAAUAGCUCCCUGAAAGGGGAAUUAACACCGCAUAACACUAUUGAUUCGCAUGGAUUUAGUAGUUAAAUGUAGCGAUACAGGUUAUAGAUGGGCAUGCGUGACAUUAGCCAGUUGGUGAGGUAACGGCUCACCAAGGCUACGAUGUACUAGGGGUUCUGAGAGGAAGGUCCCCCACACUGGUACUGAGACACGGACCAGACUCCUACGGGAGGCAGCAGUGAGGAAUAUUGGUCAAUGGGCGCAAGCCUGAACCAGCCAUGUCGCGUGCAGGAAGACUGCCCCCUAUGGGUUGUAAACUGCUUUUAUAGUAGAAGAAACACAUCUACGCGUAGAUGUCUGCCAGUAUACUAUGAAUAAGCAUCGGCUAACUCCGUGCCAGCAGCAGC
rnacentral:rRNA from 1 species